rnacentral:rRNA from 1 species
CAGGCCUAACACAUGCAAGUCGAACGAAGGCUUCGGCCUUAGUGGCGCACGGGUGCGUAACGCGUGGGAAUCUGCCCUUGGGUUCGGAAUAACAGUUAGAAAUGACUGCUAAUACCGGAUGACGACGUAAGUCCAAAGAUUUAUCGCCCAAGGAUGAGCCCGCGUAGGAUUAGCUAGUUGGUGAGGUAAAGGCUCACCAAGGCGACGAUCCUUAGCUGGUCUGAGAGGAUGAUCAGCCACACUGGGACUGAGACACGGCCCAGACUCCUACGGGAGGCAGCAGUGGGGAAUAUUGGACAAUGGGCGCAAGCCUGAUCCAGCCAUGCCGCGUGAGUGAUGACGGCCCUAGGGUUGUAAAGCUCUUUUACCUGGGAAGAUAAUGACGGUACCAGGAGAAUAAGCCCCGGCUAACUUCGUGCCAGCAGCCGCGGUAAU